rnacentral:rRNA from 1 species
ACUCAAAUGAAUUGACGGGGGCCCGCACAAGCAGCGGAGCGUGUGGUUUAAUUCGAGGCUACACGAAGAACCUUACCUGGGUUUGAAAAGCAGGUGGUAGCGGGCGGAAACGUCAGCGACCUUCGGGAGCCUGCACAGGUGCUGCAUGGCUGUCGUCAGCUCGUGCCGUGAGGUGUUAGGUUAAGUCCUGUAACGAGCGCAACCCCCGGUCGUAGUUACAAGUGUCUACGACGACUGCCCGUGACAAGCGGGAGGAAGGUGGGGAUGACGUCAAGUCAGCAUGGCCUUUAUAUCCAGGGCUACACACACGCUACAAUGGUCGGUACAAUGGGCAGCCAAGCCGCAAGGCGGAGCUAAUCCAGCAAAGCCGGUCACAGUUCGGAUUGUGGGCUGCAACCCGCCCACAUGAAGUUGGAGUUGCUAGUAACCGCGCGUCAGCCAUAGUGCGGUGAAUACGUUCCCGGGCCUUGUACACACCGCCCGU